rnacentral:rRNA from 1 species
UACGUAGGGGGCAAGCGUUGUCCGGAUUUAUUGGGCGUAAAGAGCGUGUAGGCGGCCAGGCAGGUCCGCUGUGAAAACUCGAGGCUCAACCUCGAGAGGUCAGUGGAAACCGUUUGGCUAGAGUCCGGAAGAGGAGAGUGGAAUUCCCGGUGUAGCGGUGAAAUGCGCAGAUAUCGGGAAGAACACCCGUGGCGAAGGCGGCUCUCUGGGACGGUACUGACGCUGAGACGCGAAAGCGUGGGGAGCGAACAGG